rnacentral:lncRNA from 1 species
GUCAGUCUUCUGUGGAAAAUCAUCAUGACGGUUUACGUGAUUGUGACUUUUAGUGAUUCAAUUAUAUCAAAUUGUGAGUUCGCGUUCGUGUCAUAUUCAACAUGUUUCGACUUGUCGCCAAAUUGACAAGCACUUCUUUCUAUUCGUGAUUCGAGAAUCGAAAUUGUGACGUGUUACAUCGAUAGACUAUCGAUAUUCAUGUUCCUAUGUUUGAUGACUAUCUUCGCAAUGGCAUAGAUCACGAUAGUAUAAAUUUUUUAUAUAGAUUG